UAGUGUUUUUCGAUGCCUUUAAUUAAUUUCCCAGGGCAAAUAUGGUUGGCCGGUCUGGACGUAUCUGAAAGUUGAAGUAACUCUAAGGAAGCUCCAAUAUUAUCAUCUAGAAAAGAAUCUUAAUUGUUGUUAAUGCAAGUGCCAAUCGGUUACAAUAAGCUUUACAUGCGACAGCUGUUAAUAAACACAUUUUCAAUUAUUGAGAAGUGUAAACAAACAUAUACGCUUACUCUCAAA